UGGGCAAAGCUGCUACUAUAAAAGCUGGUGGAAUGCAAGCUUUAGGACUUCACCUGACAGAUCCAAGUCAGCAUCUUGUUCAGAACAGUCUUUGGACUCUCAGGAAUCUUUCAGAUGCUGCAACUAAACAGAAAGGGAUGGAAGAUCUUCUUGGGACUCUUGUUCAGCUUCUGGGCUCAGAUGAUAUAAAUGUGGUCACCUGUGCAGUUGGAAUUCUUUCUAACCUCACUUGCAAUAAUUACAAGAACAAGAUGAUGGUAACAAGAUGCCAAGUGGGUGGUAUAGAGGAUCUUGUGUGUACUGUCCUUCGAGCUGGUGACAGGGAGGAUAUCACUGAGCCUGCCAUCUGUGCUCUUUGUCAUCUGACCAGCUGACCCCAGGAAGCAUAAAUGGCUCAGAAUGCAGUUCGCCUUCAUUAUGGACUACCAGUUAUGGUUAAAUUCCUUACACCCACCAUCCCAUUGGCCUCUGAUCAAGGCCACAGUUGGAUUGAUUAGAAAUCUUGCCCUUUCUCCAGAAAAUCGAGAACCUUUGCAUGAACAGGAUGCCAUUCCACGACUAGUUCAGUUGCUUGUUCGUGCACAUCAGGGUACCCAGCGCUGUUCGUCCAUGGGUGGAACACAGCAGCAGUUUGUGGAGGGAGUCCGCAUGGAAGAAAUAGCUGAAGGUUGAACUGGAGCCCUUCACAUCCUCGUUUGAGAUGUUCAUAACCGAAUCGUAAUCAGAGAGCUAAAUACCAUUCUGUUGUCUGUGCGUCUGCUUUACUCUCCCAUUGAAAAUAUUCAAAGAGUAGCUGCGGGGGUCCUCUGUAAACUUGCUCAGAACAAGGAGGCUGCAGGAGCUAUUGAAGCCGAAGGAGCCACAACUCCUCUCACAGAGUUACUUCACUCUAAGAAUGAAGGUUUGGCAACAUAUGCAACUACUGCUUUGUUUCAAAUGUCCAGCUUUCAGUUGAGCUGACCAGUUCUGUCUUCAGAACAGAGUCCAUGACUUGGAAUGAGACUGCUGAUCUUGGAUUUGAUAUUGGUGCCCAGGGGAACCUCUUGAACAUCGCCAGGAUGAUCCUAGCUAUCUUUCUUUUCACUCUGGUGAAUACGGCCAGGAUGCCUUGGGUAUGGACCCCAUGAUGGAACAUGAGAUGGGUGGCCACCACCCUGGGGCUGACUAUCCAGUUGAUGAGCUGCCAAAUUUGGAGCAUGAAUCAGCUGGCCUGGUUUGA